CGGCGACGGGUGAGUAACACGUGGAUAACCUACCUAUAAGACUGGGAUAACUUCGGGAAACCGGAGCUAAUACCGGAUAAUAUAUUGAACCGCAUGGUUCAAUAGUGAAAGACGGUUUUGCUGUCACUUAUAGAUGGAUCCGCGCCGCAUUAGCUAGUUGGUAAGGUAACGGCUUACCAAGGCGACGAUGCGUAGCCGAACUGAGAGGGUGAUCGGCCACACUGGAACUGAGACACGGUCCAG
rnacentral:rRNA from 1 species